GAUGAACGCUGGCGGCGUGCCUAAUACAUGCAAGUCGAGCGAACGGACGAUAAGCUUGCUUCUCUGAUGUUAGCGGCGGACGGGUGAGUAACACGUGGAUCACCUACCUAUAUGACUGGGAUAACUUCGGGAAACCGUAUCUAAUACCAGAUCAUAUUUUGAACCGCAUGGUGCAAAAGUAAAAGACGGUCUUGCUGUCACUUAUAGAUGGAUCCGCGCUGCAUUAGCUAGUUGGUAAGGUAACGGCUUACCAAGGCAACGAUGCAUAGCCGACCUGAGAGGGUGAUCGGCCACACUGGAACUGAGACACGGUCCAGACUCCUACGGGAGGCAGCAGUAGGGAAUCUUACGCAAUGGGCGAAAGCCUGACGGAGCAACGCCGCGUGAGUGAUGAAGGUCUUCGGAUCGUAAAACUCUGUUAUUAGGGAAGAACAUAUGUGUAAGUAAAUGUGCACAUCUUGACGUUACCUAAUCAGAAAGCCACGGCUAACUACGUG
rnacentral:rRNA from 1 species